rnacentral:rRNA from 1 species
CGUGAAAUUGUUGAAAGGGAAGCGCUCAUGACCAGACUUGGGCUUGGUUGAUCAUCCAGGGUUCUCCCUGGUGCACUCUUCCAGCCCAGGCCAGCAUCAGUUCGCUGUGGGGGAUAAAGGCUUUGGGAAUGUGGCUACUCCGGGAGUGUUAUAGCCCAUUGUGUAAUACCCUGUGGUGGACUGAGGUUCGCGCAUCUGCAAGGAUGCUGGCGUAAUGGUCAUCAGCGACCCGUCUUGAAACACGG